UACGUAGGGAGCAAGCGUUGUCCGGAAUCAUUGGGCGUAAAGCGCGCGUAGGCGGCUCGAUCAGUCUGUUGUGAAAGUCAAAGGCUCAACCUUUGAAUGCCGAUGGAUACUGUCGAGCUAGAGUCCGGAAGAGGCGGGUGGAAUUCCUGGUGUAGCGAUGGAAUGCGCAGAUAUCAGGAGGAACACCAACGGCGAAGGCAGCCCGCUGGGACGGUACUGACGCUAAGGCGCGAAAGCGUGGGGAGCGAACAGG
rnacentral:rRNA from 1 species